GAUGAACGCUGGCGGCGUGCCUAAUACAUGCAAGUAGAACGCUGAAGCUUGGUGCUUGCACCGAGCGGAUGAGUUGCGAACGGGUGAGUAACGCGUAGGUAACCUACCUCUUAGCGGGGGAUAACUAUUGGAAACGAUAGCUAAUACCGCAUAAAAGUCGACAUUGCAUGAUGUUGACUUGAAAGGUGCAAAUGCAUCACUAAGAGAUGGACCUGCGUUGUAUUAGCUAGUUGGUGAGGUAACGGCUCACCAAGGCGACGAUACAUAGCCGACCUGAGAGGGUGAUCGGCCGCACUGGGACUGAGACACGGCCCAGACUCCUACGGGAGGCAGCAGUAGGGAAUCUUCGGCAAUGGACGGAAGUCUGACCGAGCAACGCCGCGUGAGUGAAGAAGGUUUUCGGAUCGUAAAGCUCUGUUGUAAGAGAAGAACGAGUGUGAGAGUGGAAAGUUCACACUGUG
rnacentral:rRNA from 1 species